rnacentral:rRNA from 1 species
UCGAUAUGGACGAGUUCCCCUGACGAGUGAUCCUCGGCUCAGUACAUCGAAACAGGUUGCUGCUUUGCUGACGAGUGGCGGACGGGUGAGUAAUGUCUGGGAAACUGCCUGAUGGAGGGGGAUAACUACUCGAAACGGUAGCUAAUACCGCAUAACGUCGCAAGUGGGAAGAGGGGGACCUUCGGGCCUCUUGCCAUCGGAUGUGCCCAGAUGGGAUUAGCUAGUAGGAUUGGGAACGACUCACCCAGGCGACCAUCCAUGGCAAGUUUGAGAACCUGACCAGCCACACUGGAACUGAGACACGGUCCAGGCACCUACGUGAGGAAGCUAGUGGCCAAUAUUGCGCAACGAGCGCAAGCACGCCACAGCCAUGCCUGGUGAGUAAGGAACGAAGGGCCUUCAGGGGUUAUUAAGCUUACUUGUCAGCGGGGAAGGAAAGGGAAGUAAAAGUUAAUACCCUUUGCUCCAUUGACGUUAGCCGGCAGAAGGAAGCCACCGGUCUAACUCCGUGGCCAGCAGGCCGCCGGUAAUACGGAGGGUGCCAAGCGUUAAUUCGGAAUUACUUGGGCGUAAAGCCGCACGCAGGCGGUUUUCGUAAGUCAGAUGUGAAAUCCCCAGGGCUCAACCUGGGAACUGCAUCUGAUACUGGCAAGCUUGAGUCUCGUAGAGGGGAGUAGAAUUCCAGGUGUAGCGGUGAAAUGCGUAGAGAUCUGGAGGAAUAACGGUGGCGAAGGCGGCCCCCUGGACGAACACUGACGCUCAGGUGCGAAAGCGUGGGGAGCAAACAGGAUUAGAUACCCUGGUAGUCCACGCCGUAAACGAUGUCGACUUGGAGGUUGUGCCCUUGAGGCGUGGCUUCCGGAGCUAACGCGUUAAGUCGACCGCCUGGGGAAGUACGGCCGCAAGGUUAACACUCAUAUGAAUUGACGGAGGCCCACACCAGCGGUGGAGCAUGUGGUUUAAUUCGAUGCAACGCGAAGAACCUUACCUGGUCUUGACCUCCGCGGGAAGUUUUCGGAGAUGAGAGUGUGUCUUUCCGGAAACCGAGAGACAAGGUGCUGCAUGGUUGUCGUUAGCUCGCUUAGGGGAAUGUUGGGUUAAGUCCCGCAACGAGCGCAACCCUUAUCCUUUGUUGCCAGCGGUCCGGCCGGGAACUCAAAGGAGACUGCCAGUGAUAAACUGGAGGAAGGUGGGGAUGACGUCAAGUCAUCAUGGCCCUUACGACCAGGGCUACACACGUGCUACAAUGGCGCAUACAAAGAGAAGCGACCUCGCGAGAGCAAGCGGACCUCAUAAAGUGCGUCGUAGUCCGGAUUGGAGUCUGCAACUCGACUCCAUGAAGUCGGAAUCGCUAGUAAUCGUGGAUCAGAAUGCCACGGUGAAUACGUUCCCUAGCCUUGUACACGCCCCCCGUCACUCCUCACGAGGGCGCUCUAGAGUAAGCUCCUGGCUCAAUAAGUCGUAACAAGGUAGCCGAGAGUACUCUCCCUUUUUG